rnacentral:snRNA from 1 species
AUCGCUUCUCGGCCUUUUGGCUAAGAUCAAGUGUAGCCUUUAUAGUAUACUUGAACUCACAUUUGUCAUUUUGUGUUGUUUUCUGAAUUCCUAAGAAAAACAUAUUGGUUGUAAUGUCUUCCUAUGUGGAAGUACAGAUUUAAUUAACU